rnacentral:lncRNA from 1 species
CAGGUUUUGGCCUUGACUUCUCUGAAUGAAAGACUCUGACUUCAAGGUGUAAGCUAAAUAAAAUAUUUCGUAAGAGUAUUUUAUCACAGCAAGAGAAAGGAAUCUAGAACAAGUACUGAAGUUGGUAAUUGGCCUGAGCCUUCAUCCAGUAGCUGAUGGAAGCAGAGGCAAACACCCACAGCUAAUCAUUGAACUGAACUCUGGAAUCCAGUUGCAGAGAAGGAGGAAUGAUGGGCAAAAGGGUCAAGACCAGGCUGGAGAAACCCACAGAAACAGCUGACCUGAACAAGGGGGAGUUCAUAGACCCAAGACUGACAACUGGGAAAACAACAUAGGACUGUUCCAGGUCCCCUGAGUGAAGACAUCAGUUUGGAGGUCUGCUUAAUCUAUGGAGCCUCUUGUAGUAGAUCAGUACUUAUCCCUACCAUAGGAAUGGACUUUGGGAGCUCAUUUCACAUAGAGGGAUACUCCCUCAGCCUAGACACACGGGGGAGGGCCUAGGCCCUGCUCCAAAUGAUAUGACAGACUUUGAAGAUCCUCCAUGGAAAGGGUAUAGGAUAGGGGCUUGGUGGAGGACAGGGGAGGGAGAGAGAACUGGGAUUGGCAUGUAAAACAAGC